rnacentral:lncRNA from 1 species
GGAAUACAGAGAAAGGACUAGGAAUCAUUCUUCAAAAUAUUUAAUAACUAAUACGGCACAGGCACAGACAAGUCAAGACUGACACUGGCACAAAUAAUAGGUAUCACUGCAUUGGAGCAUACUUACUGAGUACCAAUUAUUUCACCCUUCAAAAAUAACAAUGAGAUCACAACAUAGGUAUCAACAUAGAAAGAUGUCCAAGUUAUAGCCCAGUGAGGAAACAAAUUUGUGUAACACGAGGUAUAACAUGGUCCAAUUUAUAAAUGUUUAGAGAAAUCUGAUGAGACUUACAGAUUACCCCCACAGGAUUCUGGCAAAUAGGUAUAGAACCUCAGGCAAAGAGAUCUCCUGAGAGUCUUAUUCCUGAGUUCUAGUCCUAAAUCUACCAUGUUGCUUAACCCUUACAUGCCUCGGGUUCUAUGAAAUCAAGGAGUUAAACUAGAAAAUCUUUACGCUAUUCCAGUUCUCAUUUGCUAUGAGUAUAAGAGCAAUUCUUUCUUAGGUCACUUUUGUGAAAGAAAGGUUUAAAAAACCUACUUCGAAGAUUAUUGCAAGGCUUAAAAAGAGCAGGUUUGUGAAUAUGCAUUGUAAACUGUGAAUAUAGUAUAAUAACAAUAAUAAUCCAUAGCUUGAAAAAGCUAUGUACUACAUAAAUUGUAGCCUGUACUACAAUUUAUUAGUUGUUCAUACUAGUUCUUCUUAACUUCAGCUCACUUGGGGAUAUUAUGUACACAAAUUCUUCAUCAAAAAGCCCAGAGCCUUAUGUUUAAGGUUACUUUAGGGGCUAAACCAUAUCAUAUAUCAGCCUCAGGGGUAAAAAAAAAAAAAAUCUGUUGCAGCAAAGUUGACUUCAUUAAACUUCUGAAAAGUGAAUCCUAUUUUCCCACUGAUGACCUUGAUAAAAUCAGAAUCACGUCUCCUAGAAAAUAUUUCAGUGGAUUAGGUUGCAAACUCAUUUUUCUAUUUAAAGAAUUAUAGAAGUUAGCUAAAUAUCUUUGAGGGGUCUCUGUCAACUAAAAUAGCCUGUGGUUCUGAUUCUGUUUUAGGAUUCAGUCCAGGAGUUACCAUUUCUCAAACUGGGAUGCCAGUGGGUGUGUCCCGCUCAGAUUUUCAUGGGGUCUUAGGAAUGUGUCUCCCCUCUUGAUGUCAAUCUGGUAAAGCGGGGUUUACUCUGAAUCUGUUUCUUUUUUAACUGUAUGGCCACCAAGGACAGAAAUAGAAUUUGGACUGAUGUCACUGAAGGAACAAUUCAACGUAAAAAACUUUCUAACAACCAGAGCUCUCUAAUAAAGAAGUAGCCAGUAAUCAAAGGAACUGAGUUACUGUGGCAGGAGAAAAGAAACAGGGGAGCUCACUGCUUAUUGGGGAUAAGCAUCCAUUUUAGGAUAUUUUUGCUCAUCUUUUAUCUCUUCUAAUUGUAGGCGCCCUGAGGACAGCUUUUUACAUUUUGUUGCUUUCUGCAUCUCUGGACAUAUUGUGGAUGUUUAAUAAUUAUAUUUUUAAUGAUUGAAGGAAUAACACAGAAGGGAAUCCUGCAUUUAUUGAGCAGGGCGUUGGAAUGCAAAACUUUAAGAUACUUUAACUGUGAAAUUCUUGGAAGCAUUCAUCAUCCUGUGGAAAGCUAAAUUCAAUGAGGUCAGGAAAUCCAAAUGCAGGAAGAAAAAUGAAAACUUCAGCUAAAAUCAUUACAGUGGUUAAGGGACAGGAGACAGGAAAAUUCUGGGCAGAAGAGGGCAGGUCCCCAGCGAGGGCUUCACCUUCAAGCCUGGAACUAUGGCCCAAAGUGAGAAUGUACAUCCCUGUUUUCCCGCUUGAAUGUUGCCUUUUCCAAAACCACCCAUGGCCUCCCCUGCCCCCAUCCUGUGCCCAUAAAAACCCCAGGAUCAGCCAGCAGAGAGAGGAGAAGAGGAGAUGCAGCUGGAUGUCAGAAACUACCGUUGGAGAGAAGCAGCUUGACUUCAGAGGGACAGGUUGAUGGCACAGCUUUGGAGAGGGGUUUGGCCAUCCCCAGCCAGACUCCAGAGAAAGAUUACCUUCUCCUAAUCCGUCCCCUUUGCAGCUCCCCUUCCUGCUGAGAGCCACCUUCAUCGGCAAUAAAAUCCCCCACAUUGACCAUCCUUCUAAUUCAUGUAUGCAACAUUCUUCCUGGAUGCCAGAAAAGAACUCAGGUGUGGGUGCAAAAGGCUGUCACACUGACCCUCUACUGAGCUGUUAACACUUAAGCUGUCCAUGGAUGGCAAAGCUAAAAGAGCACCGACUAUAACACUCCUUCUGGGGCUUCAGGGGUCAUGGGCACCCUCAAGACACUGCCACAGGACCGGCACAAAGUUUGUUUCUGCUGGCACCCCAAAACGCCCACCCCAGCUCGUGCACCUCCUCACCUGCAUGCCCCCUUCAGCAAGGGGUUAAGCACUGUGGGUUUGAGUGAGUAGAGCUUGCCCCUGCCGGUGCUGAAGCAGCUGACUAGUUCCAGUGCCUGCACUCCAGUUCCUGCCCACAGAGGGGUCAGGGAAAUUUCCUGCUUCAACAUCACUGUAGUGCUACAAAUGUACUAGGUUUAUUAAUAGUGCCCCACAAAUUAAAAAUAAAGUUAUGGCUGUUUUUCUAUUUUUUUAAAAAAGUCCAGUGGCCCUGAUAUAUGAAUACACAGUUAUUUUUCUAGGAACAGACAUAAAAAUUGGGAAUGCAUAUGCAUUCCUAGAGAAACAAAUUUUUGUUGUCACAAAGUAAACAAGCUUAUAUUAUUUGUUAGAGCUCAGAAACAAAAUGAUAACCUUAUAAAACAUUUAAAAAAGAACUAACACCAA